rnacentral:rRNA from 1 species
GGAAACAGAUGCUAAUACCGGAUAACAACAGAUGAUGCCUAUCAACUGUUUAAAAGAUGGUUCUGCUAUCACUCUUGGAUGGACCUGCGGUGCAUUAGCUAGUUGGUAGGGUAACGGCCUACCAAGGCGAUGAUGCAUAGCCGAGUUGAGAGACUGAUCGGCCACAUUGGGACUGAGACACGGCCCAAACUCCUACGGGAGGCAGCAGAA